UCGAGAGUUGCUAAUCUUGCCUCUGACCCAUGUAUCUCGUUGAUCAUUGUUACUCAAUUGCUGGAGAAGUGAUUUGGUUGCCCCCAUGUCGGAGGAACCUUUUCGAAGAGGAGUUUAUUAGAUUGUUGGAGCACCUGAUGCUUUACUUACCUUCCCCCCAAGAAGUCGAUUCGGUGGUUUGGAAAGGUCAUAGCUCGGGUGUUUUUUUGGCGUGUUCAUUCUAUAAAAUUAUCUCUAAACCAAAUUCUUCGAAGUCUUAUCCCUUUCUCCAGUGGUCUUAUGGAGCUCCUCCUAGGGUUGCGACUUUUAUUUGGUUGUUGGGGAGGAAGAAGGUGUUGACUAUUGACAAUUGACUAUCUUCAAAAGAGAUCCAUCACCAUCCCCAACAUUUGCUUGAUGUGUAUGAGGGAUGCUGAGUCAAUCGGUCAUCUUUUCAUCCAUCCAUUGCCCAUUCGCUUGCAAAAUUUGGGAUCAUUUCUUCCGUUUGUUCCACGUAUAUUGGGUGCUGCUGAAGUCAGUUGACCUUCUCUUAUGGGCUUCACAUGGAGUCAUAGGUAAACCUUGGAAGGCAGUGUGGAGGCUCGUUUUGAUGGGUAUCUUCUGGUUUAUUUGGAAGGCAAGGAACAAUUCAAGGCAAGAAACCUUCAUCUGGAAGUGUCAUUUACCUAGUGAAAUGUGUUGUUUCUGAAUGGGGCUCCUUAUGUUCAUGCAGCCAAGUCAGUUGAUCUCUCUUUUAUGCAUCUGCUUUAGUGUGGGUUUGUAUUCUUUUCCCUCUUUUUAGGGCUUUCUUAAUAAAUUUCAGUUACCUUAAAAAAAACACUUAGUUAAGAGCACUUAAUUUGUUAGUAUUAUCGGUCAAUGGUUUUUAAUCUAUUUCCAAUUGGAUUUGGUUGGUUUUAGGACACUUAGUUUCAUACCAAUUCUACACCAACGUGACUAAUUUUUUUUGGGAUGUAGUGGGUUUCGGAAAGUCCUUGUAUGAUAGUAGUUGAGAGUGUUUUAGACUAAGAAAAUUGAGUUUUAGAGUUUUUAAGGUGGGUUAUAAAUGUACGACAAUAAGGGGAAUUAUGAAUUUUAGCAUGAAUUAUAUCAAAUGAAUCGAGGCUUUUUUAAACUUCUAUGUCCAGAAGAGUGAUUCUUCUACUUUUUCUCAUAGUUUACUAAUAGAAGGGAAAGGAGUUCUUGUGGCAGGGUUCAAAAGAAAAGAAAAAAAAUUCCACUUGGUGAGUUGGAGGGAGGUGUGCAAGUCUUGUGCAGAAGAGUGGAGCUAGCAUAAGAGACUUAGGGUUGAUGAACCUUGCUCUUUCGGGAAAGUGGCUGUGGAGAUUUGGCUUGAAGGAGGCACCCUAUGGAGGGAAACUGUUGCAAACAAGUAUGGGUGCCACGAUGGGGGAUGGGGUACUAGAGACUCAUCUUUGUAUAGAGCCUCGGCUAUUUGUAAAGGUGUUGCGUGUGUGAAUCCUAUGUUCCUGGAAGGUGUCGGGUUCUCUCUUGGUAGUGGGGAGAAAAUAAGGUUUUGGAAGGAUGUGUGGGUUUCUGAUUCAUCCAUACUAGAAGCUUUCCUGAGGAUUGCCCAUCUCGCCAUGAACUGUAACAUCAAGGUAAAUAGGUGCUACUUGCUCGGAGGGGAGUCUAGUCUGUCAUUUGGUCUCCCCCGUGUCGCAGGAACCUUCUUGACUAUGAGGUGGAAUAGUUCGUCUCACUCAUGGGCUGAAUUCAGCAUUAUUGCCCGAUUGACAGGGAACAGGACAAGAUGACUUGCAGGGAAGGAUAGAUAGAGGUUAGGAAGGGGUGAUCAGCUCAACUAGGCAUGUGCGGUCGUACUCUGCCCCUCCCAGAUUGCGGCAUUUGGUUGGCUAGUUGGAAGGGAAACGGUGCUGACCGUGGAUAACUUCCAUAAGCAGUCAAUGGUGCUCCCUAACGUGUGCUUAAUGUGUACGGCUAAUAUAGAGUCUAGUCAACAUUUUUUCAUCCAUUGCCUGUUUGCGAGUCAA